rnacentral:rRNA from 1 species
CAUGGCUCAGGACGAACGCUGGCGGCGUGCCUAAUACAUGCAAGUAGAACGCUGAAGGAGGAGCUUGCUUCUCUGGAUGAGUUGCGAACGGGUGAGUAACGCGUAGGUAACCUGCCUGGUAGCGGGGGAUAACUAUUGGAAACGAUAGCUAAUACCGCAUAAUAGUAGAUGUUGCAUGACAUUUGCUUAAAAGGUGCAAUUGCAUCACUACCAGAUGGACCUGCGUUGUAUUAGCUAGUUGGUGAGGUAACGGCUCACCAAGGCGACGAUACAUAGCCGACCUGAGAGGGUGAUCGGCCACACUGGGACUGAGACACGGCCCAGACUCCUACGG